UGGGGAAUAUUGGACAAUGGGCGCAAGCCUGAUCCAGCCAUGCCGCGUGAGUGAUGAAGGCCUUAGGGUUGUAAAGCUCUUUCGACGGGGACGAUAAUGACGGUACCCGUAGAAGAAGCCCCGGCUAACUUCGUGCCAGCAGCCGCGGUAAUACGAAGGGGGCUAGCGUUGCUCGGAAUCACUGGGCGUAAAGGGCGCGUAGGCGGACAUUUAAGUCAGAGGUGAAAGCCCAGGGCUCAACCCUGGAACAGCCUUUGAUACUGGGUGUCUCGAGACCGGAAGAGGUUGGUGGAACUGCGAGUGUAGAGGUGAAAUUCGUAGAUAUUCGCAAGAACACCGGUGGCGAAGGCGGCCAACUGGUCCGGUUCUGACGCUGAGGCGCGAAAAGCGUGGGGAGCAAACAGGAUUAGAUACCCUGGUAGUCCACGCCGUAAAACGAUGGAUGCUAGCCGUUGGCGGGUUUACCCGUCAGUGGCGCAGCUAACGCGUUAAGCAUCCCGCCUGGGGAGUACGGUCGCAAGAUUAAAAACUCAAAUGAAUUGACGGGGUCAUAGCUGUUUCCU
rnacentral:rRNA from 1 species